rnacentral:lncRNA from 1 species
CUGGUUUUUAUUUUAUUUAUUUAGGUAUACCAUUGUUGGUUACAAUCACUGAUUCUUAUAACAACAACAUCUUAUUACUGUACCAACUUGAAAUCGAGUUCCACCUUUUUUGUAUCCCUUCUUUACGCAAUCUACAACGCACUUUGUAGAAUUUACCCAUUCCUCGACACAGACUUGUCCUGGGGGAUCUGGAAUUUGAAAUGCUGACAAUCCUGCAUUAACGAGAAAUUUAAAUCAAUACUAGUAAUAGACUCGUGCUAUCACAUGUGUCGUAACGUAACGCUACAGAUCAAUUAACAUUUGCAACGCAGAUAAAUAAGAUGGAACAAUAUUAAGUUUUAUGGCGAGUUGGAAAAAUUAUAUUUGAAACAUAAUUAAACAGACAAAAUUAACAUUCUUUCAUUACCUGAGUGGAAAAUUGAAGCAAUGCAC